AUCACCAUGCUAGCUGGUGCAACUAAUCUGGUCUGGACAAUAAUAACAGUUUUAGAUGGAAAGCAUCUUAAAAUUGCCUCUUUUUUUCGCUGAACAUCUCCUUUGAAAGUAGCAUCAUGUGAGUCACACUUGUUAAGGUAAUACAUGCUAAAUGAGCCGUAGCUUUCAAUGCAUCACAGGAUGAACCCUUGCAGUUACAGUAGCUCAGUGCGGGUAUCACGUUGCCAAGGGAACUAAUAAAGCAUACAGUGAUCGGAAUGAUUUUGUAUUGAUGCUGGUUGUCAUUGCUCAUACUGAACUACUUAAACUCCAAGUAGACAAUCGCUCCAUUCCUCAUUACCAUAGAUAAUAUCUAAGUAAUAAAACAAUCAUUAUCAAAUUCUGAUUUGCCAUAGAUAAAGUGAUUUUAUAGAGGUCAGCUAUGGAUACUCGGCUGCGAGAAUUUUUAACAGAGCGCAAAGUUGAAGAAAAUGUGAUCAAGAAACUUGAAGAUGAGAAUAUUGAUGAAACUGUCAUUCCCUUAAUGACAGACAGUGACCUGGCAAAGUACAUCCCCAAAGUUGGCGAUAGAGUCUCCACUGUGGCCUUCUGCAGACAAGCAACACUGUCACGGACGUCACCAUCCAGGAAAGAAUCUAUACUCUCAAGGCUACGACAAAGACUGACAGGAGCUGAGGGAAUGCCUCCUAAAAAGA